rfam:Struthio camelus australis contig5733, whole genome shotgun sequence.
AUUACGGCUUUCUUUAAAGCCACCUUUAUUAUGAUCCCAGCAUAUG